UGAUUGUGAAUAUAUGUUGGUGAUAUGAAUGACUUGACUGUGAUUGUUUGAUUCAAAUAUGGGCAUGACAUUCUGCAUACAUGACAUGUUGUAUGGGUUGGGAUUUUGUACGGAGGAAGCGUUCUGGUGGCUAUGCCACAAAUAUCUGUUCUGGUGGCUCUGCCACAAUAUCUGUAUUUGGUGACUUUGUCACAAUAUCUGUUGACCGAUCGAUGGCUAAGUGCCGAUCACGCUACCGAAGGCUGUGUGCCGUUGUUGUGGGCUUCGUGCCGAUUAUAG
rnacentral:lncRNA from 1 species